rnacentral:lncRNA from 10 species
CAGGUGACCAGCUAGACAAAGUCCACCAUAAAGUCCAUGGUCACUUUUUCUUUGUAACUAACUGGAGAAUCCCAGGUGGCACAGGAUGGGAUGGGGUCUCAGUGGGAGCAGUUGCUGCAAUUGCGAAAGAGGAGGAGGAGGAGGAGGAGGGGAAAGAGGCAAUACUUCCAGCCUCCAGGGAAAAUCUCUGUGCUUGCUGCCUUAUCACAGUGACUGGAAAUCCACCCUCAGAUGCACACACAAAGCUGUCAUUAACAGAAGCUUCACGUGCACCCCGGAAAGCAAAAUUGGGCACUCGGCUUCAAAGGAAACGGCUUCUUCCUUCACAAUACUUCAUCACUAAAUGGUUGUCUGGCAUGUUUGUUUUUUCAAAUGUCCACAUUUUAUUUGUCCAACUGAUUGUCUCUUUAUCAGCAGCAGCCAGGACCACAGCUGAACUGUUUGUGAGUUGGUAGUUUAUAAAAUCAAUGCUAAGUCUUUGCUAGUGUUUCUCUAACACGCUCAUUUGUAUUUAUUCGUCUCAGAAGUCAAAGAAAAAAACACAACAUACAAAAGGCAGAGUGGUGCUUUUCUAUGUCAAUAUGUGUUUGAGGACUUUUCUAGCUAAUUGACAUAAACUCGACAGCUAGACCAGAUGACAAGCAAGAAUAUCCAUCCCAUAAUGAGGCUUCCGGCACUGGCUUAAUCAAGUAAAUCCAGAAAACAAGGCUCAAAAUUACUUGAGAAAGGUUUUAAUUGUUUUUGCAUCUUUUCUCUUUUUUCUUUCUCUUAUUUUAGAAAAAUUAUUCUUAGAGGUAGAGUCUCAA